CUGUGUGACGCAGACUACCAUAUACAUGAAUGUUUAAAGAUCUGUGGAAAAAAAGCUGGAAAAUGUUAAAAAGAGAGCAGUUACUCCACUUAAGGGAACUCCAAAACGUAGACGGAUGUCAAUAGCUGAAAACCUUAUCUGCAGCACAGAAAAGUUAAAGUCGGCCACGUAGACGACACCAAAGAGAAUACCGGUUUUUGAAAAUUUGGUGUCCAGUAUAGAAAAGCUGAAAUUAGUGUGAAAGCCCAGAAAGAAUUGAGCUAAUAGUUGAAGGACAGAGAGUCAGCCUCCCUGUAGAAAAUGGAAAAGUUUCACUUAUAUUUCAGCAGCAAACUGGACAAACAAGAAUCGAAAUACCAACAAAAGUGUUAGAAGAAAAGGAGACCAUACAAAUUCCAGUUGGAAACUUGUUAAUUAAUGAACUUGUUAAUUAAUGUAAAACUUGUGAAGCCAGAUGACUUAAAGAAUUAUGUUAUGAACCUUCUGCAGCACUACUUCAUCAUUUUGAACUUGAAAGAUGCUGUGAAAGAAGGAGAUGUCUUCAGGAUUAACAACUGCCUCAAGAUGAUGAUCCCUUCUUCUAUAAUCACUCCCCACUAUCCAAGUACAUGGUCGAGUGUUUAGAUUAUAUAUUAAAAACCGAAGUUAUGUUGCCACCAAAACUUGCAAUUCAGGUCCGAGCAGCAGCAUGUGUUAAUCCAAAAGAAGCAAAAGCAAAAAACAAGGCUGCAUAUAUGCAAAAGGAAAAUCAAGUGAAGGAGAUGAAAGAACUAAUUAAAGGUCUUGGUUCUAACAAAAACGAACACUCAAUUGAAACCAUUUUAAAAGCUUAUCCAGUUGUUAAUGAUAUUGUCUCACAUAUUGAUUUACAAAUCAGUUACAAGGAAGUGAAGUCUUCACACAAGAGUAGAAGUGAAAAUGAGGAUUUGAGCUGCAUGUUGAAACAUCUGAGAAAUUUGAAGCCAUUUUGUCAAGUAAGUGGACGGACUUUGGAUGGCUAUUUUUCCAUUAAAACAAGUGCAUUUAAAGAACUGUUGCCACAUAAAGCUUUGCUCAAAGAAAAAGUAAUGCAUACCAUAAAUUGUAUGAAGCGUGGUAUACCUAUGCCUGCGGAUGAAAAUGAAGAAAAUGUAGAGGACAUUGUUGAUCCACAGUGACAUUAAAUAAGGGAGUAUACCACUAUAAUUAUACUCAUGAACUGGAAUGAUCUUGUUAAAAGAAACACUUAUGAAUUCACGAAAACAGUCUUAAUGAAAACAAAGCCAUGAACAGUUUUAUUUGGUUUAUUUACUUAUUACACAAUUGUUAAAAGGGGAAAUGGAAUAUUGUUUUUCUAUUUACUAUAACAAACAACACACAUAACGCUGCUCUUAACCUGUAUACAUUGUAUUUAUCAAUUAAGUUGAGUGUUAAGGUCUUCGAACAUUCUCCACACCGUUGAUGGA